CGUGAACUGCGUGUAGCUCAGCCCGUGCCCGAACGCGUGGAUCGUCGGCCCCGUGUAGAACCGGUACGUCCGCCCCGGGUACCCGCGCGCCGGGUUCGCCCGCAUCGCCAUGUUCGUCAUCGGCACCUUCUCCAGGUAGUCUUGAGGGUACCAUGUCACCGGCAGCUUCCCGCCUGUUCAUACAAGUUUUCACGAAUUCAGUCAGACUCUGUUUGCAUCUUGUGCAAACAAUCAAAAAGUGAACUUUGUGAAUGUUGAAUCCAAAAUUUGAACCUGGGUUAUGUUGUCCAAAGAUGACGUCGGCGAUGGCCUGGCCGCCGGCCUGGCCAGGGUAUCCCACCCAGAGGAUGCCGUCGAUCCUGGGGUCGUUCUGCGCGAACGCGAUGUCGAUGGGUCCGCCGGACAUGAGGACGAGGAUGACGGG
rnacentral:lncRNA from 1 species